ACUUGGCGACUUUAUCGCUGCCAUGUGGACAAGAAUUGACUGGAAUUUGCCUUUUGCAAAGCUCUGUUUUUAAUUUUAACGGCUCAGAAUAGUUUUCUUAAAUCGUGUCGAAUGUUUCAUGACUUAAUUCACUUUUUCGAUGGCUGAAGUCUGGAAACAUCCUGGAUAGUGCACCAGAGAUGACCUCGAUCAGAAAGACCUGCUGGCAGGAAUCAAGCUUGAAUCAAGCCACUCUUGACAUGUUGCUUUUCUGAUACUUAAAACAGAAUUCAAUCAAACAAAAAUUCAGGGUGUACAUGUAUGACAACCAUGGUAUUUAUCCCAGGCUAAUUAAAGAUUGCUUUGCUGUGAAAUCCAGUUGUUGGCUGAAGCAGGACCUAAGCAAGAGUUGAGAUGCUGUUUGUUUUCAAAGUUCUUGGAUUUCAGAGGAUUGUUGGACCAUGAUCGACUCCAUGAGGUGUACAAUUCUGUGCACGUAUUCCAUUUAGGCUCAAUUACACAUCAUAGAAGCAUCAUUUAGAGCAAAGAUUGAUGGCGGAUAUAGUUUUAUGCACCUCUAAAAACUUGCUUCGGAAGAAUAAGCUGCUUUGAAAGGAUAAGCUGGUUUGGGGAAGACCUGACUUUUUAUCUCCUUUUUUCAAGGCUACCCCAAAGAUUAAAAGUGUAAAAAAAAGAUGGUCAAGAGAGACGACUAUACUUUUUACUCUGGCUUCUUCGACCACCCAAAGCUGGAUACCAAGGAACACGAUCACCUUAAGAUUAAAACUAGAGACAAUUUUCAAUCUUGGAAAGAAAGCACAAUUGGAUCGAGCCCCAAUCCAGAGAAUAAAAUGAAAAAUUGGGGUUCGAUCAGUCCACCAUCUACCCUGGAAAGAAUCGAAAAGCGCCUCACCGUCCUCAACCCCUCCCCGUAGCCGCCACUUUUAGACAGUUUUCUUAACUCUUGACUGAAGACAAACUAUCCUGUGGUACAAACACCUUUGACAUACAGUUCAGUACUGUACAUAUUACAAUAGGAAUAGCACAAUAUUGUUCUUAUAGUCUCCGAAUACAGUAAUAUUACAGUACCAAUUAUUUUUCUCCAACCGUCCUCACCCACCGCACCCCCCACUAGCCUACACAUUUGUUAUAUCUUUCCAAGGAUUGUCUACUUUGUGGUAGUAACAUUUCUUUCAAACGCAGGCGGUUAAUGUAACCAAACGUCUGUCUUAAUUGCGCAUACGCAUUCCAAGAUGUUGUCACUGCAAGGUAGACAGCUUUUACAGAUUGCUUUUAAAAAAAGACUGCCUGUAUUGACGGUGGAAGACAUGGCGAGCUGACCCCAAUUUUUGCGUUCUGUCCAAGGUUGAUAUUUUUCUCUAGUUUCUUGCUUUACUUCUCGACAAUCGGCCCCCAUCUUUACAAUGUUCAUGAUUUUUCUCUGGCUUUUUGCUUUCCUUCUUGUCGAUCUGAAAUAAAUUGAAGAAAAUCAUUAAGUUUGCCUGAGAAAAUUAAAAUUACAAUUUUGCAUGGGAUGA